AGCUUUGUGCGGUGGCAGGAUCGUAGCCAAUGAGGGUUAUCCGAAGCACAAUUAUUGCUAAUUGAAAGAUCGUUUAGUCCAAUCCCUUCACUUACCAUAUGGAAAGAGAGGCA
rnacentral:snRNA from 1 species